UACGUAGGUGGCAAGCGUUGUCCGGAUUUAUUGGGUUUAAAGGGUGCGUAGGCGGCCCUGUAAGUCAGUGCUGAAAUACCCCGGCUUAACCGGGGGGGUGGCAUUGAUACUGCAGGGCUUGAGUACAGAUGAGGUAGGCGGAAUUGACGGUGUAGCGGUGAAAUUCGUAGAUAUUCGCAAGAACACCAGUGGCGAAGGCGGCUCACUGGCCCAUAACUGACGCUGAGGCACGAAAGCGUGGGGAGCAAACAGGG
rnacentral:rRNA from 1 species